rnacentral:rRNA from 1 species
UGCAGUCGACGGCAGCACGGGGGCAACCCUGGUGGCGAGUGGCGAACGGGUGAGUAACAUAUCGGAACGUGCCCUGGAGUGGGGGAUAACUAGUCGAAAGAUUAGCUAAUACCGCAUACGAUCUACGGAUGAAAGUGGGGGAUCGCAAGACCUCAUGCUCGUGGAGCGGCCGAUAUCUGAUUAGCUAGUUGGUGGGGUAAAGGCCUACCAAGGCAUCGAUCAGUAGCUGGUCUGAGAGGACGACCAGCCACACUGGGACUGAGACACGGCCCAGACUCCUACGGGAGGCAGCAGUGGGGAAUUUUGGACAAUGGGCGCAAGCCUGAUCCAGCAAUGCCGCGUGAGUGAAGAAGGCCUUCGGGUUGUAAAGCUCUUUUGUCAGGGAAGAAACGGUGAGGGCUAAUAUCCNUUGCUAAUGACGGUACCUGAAGAAUAAGCACCGGCUAACUACGUGCCAGCAGCCGCGGUAAUACGUAGGGUGCAAGCGUUAAUCGGAAUUACUGGGCGUAAAGCGUGCGCAGGCGGUUGUGCAAGACCGAUGUGAAAUCCCCGGGCUUAACCUGGGAAUGGCAUUGGUGACUGCACGGCUAGAGUGUGUCAGAG